rnacentral:rRNA from 1 species
AAGUUGUUGCAGUUAAAAAGCUCGUAGUUGGAUUUCUGGCAGGGACGGCUGGUCGGUUCCGAUAAGGGGCCGUACUGUUGUUUGUUCCUGUCAUCCUUGGGGAGAGCGAUUCUGGCAUUAAGUUGUUGGGGUCGGGAUCCCUAUCUUUUACUGUGAAAAAAUUAGAGUGUUCAAAGCAGGCUUAGGCCCUGAAUACAUUAGCAUGGAAUAAUAAGAUACGACCUUGGUGGUCUAUUUUGUUGGUUUGCACGCCAAGGUAAUGAUUAAUAGGGAUAGUUGGGGGUAUUCGUAUUCAAUUGUCAGAGGUGAAAUUCUUGGAUUUAUGGAAGACGAACUACUGCGAAAGCAUUUACCAAGGAUGUUUUCAUUAAUCAAGAACGAAAGUUAGGGGAUCGAAGAUGAUUAGAUACCAUCGUAGUCUUAACCAUAAACUAUGCCGACUAGGGAUCGGUGGGUGCAUUUUAAGGCCCCAUCGGCACCUUAUGAGAAAUCAAAGUCUUUGGGUUCCGGGGGGAGUAUGGUCGCAAGGCUGAAACUUAAA